UUCCUUUGUUAAAACCUUUUUGUCCAUAAAGAAGAGGCGAGCAUUCCUGGAUUUACUGCUUGAUCAUCAUUUAACAGAUAAAAGUCUCAACGAAGAGGAUAUCAGAGAAGAAGUUGAUACAUUCAUGUUCGCAGGACACGACACUACCGCAAUAGGUAUUAGUUGGUCACUUUUUCUCCUCGGAUUGCAUCCGGAUAUACAAGAGAAAGUUUACCAGGAGCUGGAAAAAAUUUUCGGUGAAGACAAAUAAUUCUAUUACAUCCAAAGACCUUAGAAAAAUGAAGUAUGUGGAAUGUGUUGUCAAG